GGGACACUGUCAGGUGGGCAGUUUGACUGGGGCGGUCGCCUCCCAAAAGGUAACGGAGGCGCUCAAAGGUUCUCUCAGUACGGUCGGAAAUCGUACGUAGAGGGUAAAGGCAAAAGAGAGCUUGAUUGCAAGACAUACAGGUCGAGCAAGGAUGAAAAUCGGACUUAGUGAUCCGGUGGUUCUGCGUGGAAGGGCCAUCGCUCAA
rnacentral:rRNA from 1 species